AUAAAUGCACUCAAAUUUUAGUGGUUAUAGACGCUUUUACUAAAUUUGUGCGAUUUUGUCCUAUUAGACAAAAAAAUGCCGAAUGUACUAUAAAGGCAUUAGAUGCAUUAUUUAUGGAAUUGGGUCGACCAAAACGAAUAAUAGCUGAUCGGGGAACAGCAUUUGUAGCGAGUAAAUUUCGAGAAUUUCUCAAUGAUAACUCUGUUGAGCUACACCUAAUUGCAACAGGAGUUCCUAGAGGUAAUGGACAAGUGGAACGCGUUAUGAGAAGUUUGUUUAAUGCGAUGCGUGCUGUGUUGAAUGAAAAAGACGAAAAUAAAUGGACAAAAGUGCUACCUGAUAUUGAGGACGAUUUUAAUGUAACUGUGAACAAAUCGACAGGAUUCGCGCCGUGGAUAUUAAUGUUUGGUGAAAAUCGACGUCUGAGAGCAACUAACGAACUGUUAAAUGGUGUGCCAAUACAGACAAGUGAUGUGGACGCUGAAAUACUUAGACAACAAGCUCACAGUCGCGUGUGCGAAGUAACCAGUAGAACAAUUACAAACUUUAAUAAGAAAAGAGUGCCGGCAAUACCAUACGCUGUUGGUGAUAAAGUUGUUAUUGAAAAUAGUCAGCUGUCGAAUGGAGGAAAAUUGAAACCAAAGUAUCACGGACCCUUUGAGGUAACGCAUUGUUUACCUAAUGAGAGGUACGCACUCCGAAGGAUUGGCAGCCGAGGUAGAACUACAACAGCAGCGCAUGAACAGUUACGAACCUGGCCAGAUACAGAAAUUCUAUAAGGUAUGAUGGAUAUAGAUUUAUUUAAUAAGAUUGAUGUGUGAAUGUGUGUAAAGGUCCCUGCUUAGUAGGCUGUUUAAGGUCCCUGUGUAUCAGGCUAUGUUUAAGGUCCCUACUUUGCAGGCUAUGUUUAAAGGUCCCUGCUCGGCAGGCUAUUUUUAAGGUCCCUGCUCUGCAGGCUUAGAUUGUUGUGUUCUGGGUCUGUGAGACAAGCGGGUAAUAGACCUGGUAGUGGUUGAACCGCCUCUGAGCUCCUGGCUAGAAUAUGGUAUCUUUUGAUAGCACUUGAGAGACAUGGGUGUAACAGACCUGUUGAUGGUUGAGCCGCCUCUGUGCUUCUAGUGGUUGUUAACUGUGCCACAUAACAGUCUAUUUUGUUAAAUGAAAUAAGGUUUAGACUUAGUUCUUCGAAUAUAUUUU